CCUACGGGAGGCAGCAGUGAGGAAUAUUGGUCAAUGGACGAGAGUCUGAACCAGCCAAGUAGCGUGAAGGAUGACUGCCCUAUGGGUUGUAAACUUCUUUUAUAUGGGAAUAAACUGUUCCACGUGUGGGAUUUUGUAUGUACCAUAUGAAUAAGGAUCGGCUAACUCCGUGCCAGCAGCCGCGGUAAUACGGAGGAUCCGAGCGUUAUCCGGAUUUAGUGGGUGUAAAGGGAGCGUAGGUGGUUUGUUAAGUCAGUUGUGAAAGUUUGCGGCUCAACCGUAAAAUUGCAGUUGAAACUGGCAGUCUUGAGUACAGUAGAGGUGAGCGGAAUUCGUGGUGUAGCGGUGAAAUGCUUAGAUAUCACGAAGAACUCCGAUUGCGAAGGCAGCUCACUGGACUGCAACUGACACUGAGGCUCGAAAGUGUGGGUAUCAAACAGGAUUAGAUACCCCAGUAGUC
rnacentral:rRNA from 1 species